rnacentral:rRNA from 1 species
CCUACGGGAGGCUGCAGUGAGGAAUAUUGGUCAAUGGGCGCGAGCCUGAACCAGCCAAGUCGCGUGAGGGAGGACGGCCCUACGGGUUGUAAACCUCUUUUGCCGGGGAGCAACGGGCGCCACGUGUGGCGCCACUGAGAGUACCCGGAGAAAAAGCAUCGGCUAACUCCGUGCCAGCAGCCGCGGUAAUACGGAGGAUGCGAGCGUUAUCCGGAUUUAUUGGGUUUAAGGGGUGCGUAGGCGGAUCGUUAAGUCAGUGGUCAAAUUGAGGGGCUCAACCCCUUCCCGCCAUUGAAACUGGCGUUCUUGAGUGGAAGAGAGGUAUGCGGAAUGCGUGGGGUAGCGGUGAAAUGCAUAGAUAUCACGCAGAACCCCGAUUGCGAAGGCAGCAUGCCGGCUUCCGACUGACGCUGAGGCACGAAAGCGUGGGGAUCGAACAGGAUUAGAUACCCCGGUAGUC